UCCUCUUAUAUCUCUCUCUGUAUAUCCAUUUGGUUCUGUUUCUCUGGGGAACUCUAAUACAGUCCCAUUACUGCAUAAAUACUAUGAAUAAAGUAUUAAUAUUAAUCACAUGUAAAAUGAAUGGAAGUCCAUACAGAUAAUAUUUAAAAUCCAGUGAACAAAUGAUUAAAUAAAUACAAAUUCUGAAUCUCUCCUCUCCCCUGCUGGAUGGAAUGCAGUUUCUGGACCUUCCUCUUUGGUUCAGUCCUUUUUUGUGGCCCCUCAGUGGUCCCCUUGAGUCGCUUAGGAGAAAGAGGGGAGGGAGCUGGUAUUCUUGCCAAAAGAGGAACUCUGAAAAUAACAAAUGCCACAGGCUUCCAGCCAGCGAUUGGCUAGUGGUUAAAAAUCUUUGACUAAAAUGUUCAUUUUUUAAAAGGAAUUUAAGAAAUUUAAGUGCCAGUUCUAAUAAAACCCCAGAGAAAUAAGCUUUGAUAGGUGAAAGUUAUCAAAUGGACCAUAAACAGAUUGGGGAACGUGACUUUGGAAAGCCGUACGAGAUGGUGAUUGUACUCAGUGAUUUUAAAAAAUAACCUUUUUUCCCCUUUAUGUCACUAGUAAUAAACUUCCUUUGUAUGGAAGAAGAAAAUACAAAUAAGUGGAAGGAUAAGAGCCAGGACUCUGAAGUCAGACAAGCCGUGUUCAGUCCCAGCCCUGCCACGUACCACUGUGACCUUGGGAGAAAGACAAAAAAAAAGCCUUAUGGGAGUGCCUCAAGACCAUUAAAGAUCCUGUCUAGUCUGUUGCUGCCCCACAAGUACACCUACAGGCCUGGGUGAUGAGAACUGAGGUUCAGCCUGAGAACCCACAGACGCUGCAAGACUCUCAGUCAUCAAACAUUCAAUUAUGUUCUCUAUGUUCUAUUUACUAAAGCGGAGAGGGGGACAUUAAAAAAAAAGCUUUUCAUGACAGGAAUUGGUUUUAGUUUCACAGACACUUAUUGCAUUUGUUUGCCAGUGUCAUUUAGAGUCCCACCAGCCGACAACACCAUGGACAAGUAGAAAAUGUUGAACAAAUGCUUUUGGGUCAUCUGGAAACAGAACAACAUAAAAUAAAAAAAUUUUUCUAACUGCUUCA
rnacentral:lncRNA from 1 species